rnacentral:rRNA from 1 species
AAUGAACGCUGGCGGCGUGCUUUACACAUGCAAGUUGAGCGAGGCGGCCCGCAAGGGCCAGUCGAGCGGCGAACGGGUGAGUAACGCGUGGAUAUCUACCCUGAGGUGGGAACAACCAGGGAACUCUGGCUAAUACCGCAUGAUACCGAGAGGUCAAAGGGGCGUCNCAAGAGCUCCCGCCACAGGAGGAGUCCGCCGUCCGAC